rnacentral:rRNA from 1 species
CAGUCGCCACGGUAAUACGUAGGGUGCAAGCGUUGUCCGGAAUUAUUGGGCGUAAAGAGCUCGUAGGCGGUUUGUCGCGUCUGCUGUGAAAUCCCGAGGCUCAACCUCGGGCCUGCAGUGGGUACGGGCAGACUAGAGUGCGGUAGGGGAGAUUGGAAUUCCUCGUGUAGCGGUGGAAUGCGCAAAUAUCAGGAGGAACACCGAUGGCGAAGGCAGAUCUCUGGGCCGUAACUGACGCUGAGGAGCGAAAGCGUGGGGAGCGAACAGGAUUAGAUACCCCAGUAGUCCCUGUCUCUUAUAC